rnacentral:rRNA from 1 species
CUCCCUGACCCUUUAAGGGUCCUGAAGGAACGUUGAAGACGACGACGUUGAUAGGCCGGGUGUGUAAGCGCAGCGAUGCGUUGAGCUAACCGGUACUAAUGAACCGUGAGGCUUAACCUUA